ACAUGUAAAAUUUCAGGCAGAUCGGACCAUGUACAGGCUAGUUAUAGAGCAUUUCCUUCCAUCCACCAGGUGGCGCUGCGACCGAGAAUUUAUGUCGGCCUAUGGAUGUGAUCAGGACUGGACUCUGAUCACACAUGUAAAGUUUGAGGCAGAUUGGAGCAUGUUUAGGGCAGUUACACAGCAGUUGAUGUUUCAUGGCGAAGCACCAAAAUUCACGAGGCCGCCAUGGCCACGCCCUCAGACUUAAGGUGAGCAUUUUGAUAACUUUUGAUCACCCAUGCCUGGAGUACAUCCUGGUCAAAUUUCAGCUCUCUCGGUGUUACCCUGUUUGAGUUUAUAGCUUUUGAAAAUGUCUAAAAAUGACCCAAAAUCGUCAAAACAUAUGACAUAUAAUUCAAAAUGGCCGACUUCCUGUUGGGUUUUGGGCAUGGGUGUCAAUUACAUUUUUGUGUGUCUUGACGAGUUACAUAUGCCUACCAAGUUUCAUGAUUGUGGCUAAAACGUACUGGCCAUAGUAACUGUUUGAAAAUUUCCAGGUGGCGCUAUGGAGCCAUUUUGCAACAGUCAUGUGCAAUUCAUCUAAAAUAUCAAAUAUCUCAGCAGUCCUGAUGAGUGUGGCAAUUUUGGCGAGCAUAUGACAGUUUUUAACCUGUCAAAAAGUACUUUGUUUAUUCUGGCAACGAUACGUUGCCACGGCAACAGCGUUUUAUGAAUCGUCAAAAUCUUCACACUGUGGCAUCGUCUAGGUGUAACCAGUCACCUGACCAAUUUUCUGAAUGAUAUGACAAAGUUUCUGGCAAUGGCAUGUGCAAAUGUAAUGACAAUUUCUUCCUGUUGCCAAUAGGUGGCGCUAUGAGUAUUUCUAAAUUUAUGAAUGUGGAUGUGUUCAGAACCUGACUGGUGUCCAUCACAUCAAGUUUGGUCCAGAUUGGAUCAUUUCCAGCUGAGAUAUUAAUAAUUCAAUUUUCAUGGCGAGAAAUCGAAAUUCGCCGCGCCGCCACAGACACGCCCCUUGACAACGAGUCGCCAUUUUCUCUGGGGAUCAUCAUCAAUGUGUUCAGGCUUAUGUCAGCACAUUUGAAGUGAUUCUGGUCAACGUGCUAAGAAUAGUACAUCAAAAUGUAAAAAAUGUCUAUUUCUUGCUACCACAAGGUGGCGCCAGGGCUGGACUGGGAUCAAAAUAUGGCCCUGGCAUUUUUGGUCAUGGUGGCCCACCAUGAUUAUUUAUACAAUAUGCCAAGCCAUACGACAUAGCAGAGGAUAUAUGUGCACAUUGUAUUGUUUCCAAAAAAAAAAAAAAAAGAAAUGCAGCAGCCUACGUGGAAGAGAGUAACCAUGUAAAAAAAAAAAAAAAGAUACACUCUGUCACUUCUCACAGGGACUUUAUUUAAAAUUUUAUUACAAACUGUCAAAAUUAGCAACUUGAAUUUAAAGUGGAGCUCUUCACCAAAAUGGAACCUUAAAGUAUGAAGAGAGAGAUUGAGAGAGAGAAAGAUAGAGAGAGAGAUGCAUAGAUGAUCAAGAAAAGAAAAAGAGCUGGAAUCAGUUAAGGUAUAGUUUUAAAGCUAAUGUGAGCUCGUCGAUCUGUCCCUGCUGUGUCACGUCUCUCCCUCCGUCCUCCUCCUCCUUCUCCUCCUACUACUUUUCCUCAGACUCCCCCUGAAUUUCGGCUUCUUUUUCUAUCAUGGCAGCAGCAGUCGCUGCCGCAGGUGAAGUAGUGGAAGCAACGGCAAACAUGUCACUUAUUUAGCAGCAUUUUGCUGCAUCGACUUGCAGGCUUUUAAGCGUUUAUUCGCGCAAUUUUUCAGCGCCCCCCUUUCGUUUGGGCCGUUUCUCCAUCUUUGCUCCUCUCCACUUCCGGCCAACUCAAACGGCAAAAUUUGAUGACUUUGGUCAAGAGGCCGGGGAGGGGCGGGCCGAGGAGGGCUGAGAGAUUUCAUUGGAUUAGUCCAAUGUCCUUCAAGAAAAUCAACCAAUGGGCCGUCGCGAUCGACAAAAAGGAUUUAUAUUUAUAUAUGAUGGUUAAAUUAUGACACCCCCUGUGCCGGCCCAAAAAUGUGCUUCGGCCCACCGGGCAUCGCCCGGUACGUCAGAUGGCCAAUACACCCCUGGUUGGGGUUAAAAUGUUGUCAGAAGAAGAAGAAUCAAGAAAGAAACGACAUAACAAAAUGCCAAUAAAUCAAAGGGAAAAAUUUGAGACAAGAAAACAUUUAUAAAGUAGGAAAAUAUAAAAGUCGAAGUAAUUUAAGAAGUUUAUUUAAUAACUAAAGAUGUAACUUUGUAAAUAAGUGUUGUAGUCUAUUUCACUUAUUUGAUCGAUAGGUGUAGUGAGAGACAGGCAGACAACGGGGUAGAAAUAAGAAUGAGGACAAGUCAUACAGCACGGGGUUGCGAACGGGAAUCGAACCCGGGCCUUAACGUUGGGGACCUAGUACAUGCGUGAGGGGCUUAACCCGUUGAGCUAUAUGGACACACAUGUUAUGUGCUUUUAAAAGUGUAUUCAUCCAAUAGAAAGUCUAGGGGUAGGGUUAGGGUUACGGAGGAAGGUCCUGACAGUAGCAAUGAACCAAAACAUGGAUAUUAAAUUUUACAUAUUUUCAUAAUUUAAUAUUAAGGAUUUAAGGAUUUAAGACCAGCACACGGAAAGCUGACAUUAAAAAUCACAGGCUUAUGAUCAGAGAAUACGUUAUCACCGAUCUCAAUAUUCGACACAUACAAUCCAUAAGACAGAACCAGGUCUAACGUGUGUCCGUGUUCAUGUGUGGGACCCGACACACACUGAACCACAUUAAAAGAGGCAAUAAGACUUAGAAAGUCCUUCACCAGCCGCUUAUCGGGACAGCACACACGAAUAUUAAAAUGCACAAUAUUUCUCCUGUCUGGAUUAAAUUUCAGAAAUACAGUUUAGAUUUACUAAAUAUUCCAGGAAUUCUUGCUCUCAGUUUGACCAUAGAAAUGAACUUGUUGUUGAGGCAGUUUGUGUUUGAGUUUUUCUGCCUCGAGCUUCAUCACCAGUGAUGUUCAGGACUCAUUCUUGUAUUUUACACUCUCUGAUGUUUUCUUUUCUUCAUGUCUAGUGUGUGAAUCAUUUCUGGUUUGUCUCUUCAGUGUCUCAUGUGGCCCUGCAGCUUCUCCUCCUCCACCUCCUCCUGAAGCCUUCAUCUUCUUCAUCAUCAGCUGCUCAGUGACUCUGUUGGACGUCUCACCGUGUGGCAGCAGCUCAGGAGUUUGCAGUCAACCAAGGCCGACUCAGAAUCACUCCCACCGGGAAGAUCUGUGAAGGAAGGUCCACCCGGCUGGUCCAGAAGCUCCGGUCCAGCAGAGCAGCGUCAGGAUGGAGACGUAACCGGUGUUGAUGUCACCGCCUUGACGAAUAGAAGAAAAGCCUGUAUUUGGGAAUCUUUGACUCCAGAGCUGCAUGUUUCUGAUCUGCAGGUACCCAACCAGUUGAGGUAAGUUUCUUCCCAUUCAAAUGAAUUAUUUUUCUCCCCCCGUCACUAAAGAGUUUCUCAAAGGGAGGGACUUGCUUAAGUUUGCUGGGAUUCUCUCCUUAGUAUUAUGGUGAGGUCUGUUGAGCGUGUUUGUUUUCUGAGAUAGAAGACAAGCAACUUCUCUCAGUUAAAGUUGUUUAUUCUGCAAUACCAAGUAGCUUGAUAUCAAGGACCAUUGCUGUUCAGAGGACUAUAGUGAACAAAGGUGUUAAUCUGAAGGCGUCUUCCCAGCGAUGGAUGAAGUUCACAGUAUAAAGAGUAUAUUUAUUGAAAAUAAAAUGUGUAACAAUCUCAUUGGUGAAAAACUGAUGGAGAGGAGCUGCGUUUAACUCAGCCCUCUUGUUGGUGCACAGGCAUGUCCUUAGCCUCUUGGCACACAAUCCCUCCAAUCAGAAGAUCCCGGAUAAAUUAGACCCUCCCCAUUGUGAUUCAAAUGUAUCUUUCUGUACUGUUCCUAUCUCUAUUAACUGCUGACUUCUGUCUCAGUCAUAUAAAUCACAGCCAACUCCAACUCCAGUCAUGAGUAUUUUAUCGGUUCUUAAACACAGCAGCUUUUGUUCUUAACAAGAAGUCUUCAGGACAUGGAGUGGCCUUCAGUACUAAAUGAGUGUGUGAGAUUGUGUAGUGUAUGUGCAUGUGUGUAUGCGUGUCAGCAAUGAGUGCUGGUUGUGUAGUGAGUGUACGCUGCUGCAGUUUGCCCUCUGUUGACCUGGUCAAUUCACCUUUGGUUUAUUCCACUCACAUAGUGUGGGAUAA